UUCUUUUCCCUUCUGGUUUAUUCCUAUUCCCUUCUUUUUUGGGAAGCUGUAUUUAUCUUGUAUUUACUUUUGUAUUUAUCUUACCUUUUUAGAGGUGUUGUGCCUGCUUCUGCUGGCUUCAAAAAGGAACAGGGAGCUCUACAGUAGAAGCCUGAAGGUGAGGUGGGCUGGCCUCUCUGCCUGCCUGUGCUCCUUCCUUCCCCCUGGAAAGUUCACCACAUGAGACUUUGAUAGGCUUCUUCUUACCCUAUUUGUUUUACUUUUCCUCCCCCCUUUCGUGUUCUCCUUUCUCUUUUUCUUCCCUAUUUAUUUCUUCAAUUUUCUCUUUACUUCCCCUUUCUUCCCUCUUUCUUCUUGCUCUUUCUUUUUCAUCCCCUUUAUGUUUCCGUUUCCCUUCCUCUUUCCCUUUCCCUUCCACUUCCCCUUUCUCUUUCCCUUUCCCUUCCUUUCCCUUUUCCUUCCCUUUUCUCUUUCCUUUCCCUUUUUGUUUCCCCUCCCUUCCCUUCUUUGCCUCAAGAAGCUGUAUUUAUCUUGUAUUUACUUACUGUAUUAUCUUACCUUUUUUAGAGACUGUUGGCCUGCUUCUGCUGGCUUCAAAAAGGAACAGGGAGCUCUACAGUAGAAGCCUGAAGUUGAGAGUCCUCUGUUUCACUGGCAAAAAUACUGGAGGCAGGAAGAAGGCUGUGGGUUGGAUCCUUGGGUACUUUUUCCACUGAUGAAAUGAAGGCAAGCAAAUGACAGAUCCAACUGUGCAGCCUUGGGUGUAUGAAUCAGUAUUAUCUGCUGGCUGGAGCUCCUGGUAGGUUUUGCACUAAGAAAUGGUUUUGGUGUCACAUUUGACAUGAGAACUCAGAAUAUCAUGGGGUGUUUUGGACUCAAUCUUAUACACUAUCUCAAGCUCUUUGGGAACAAGCAGCCUAUUUUUCAUUAUGCAAUAUCGUCUUUAUUCAUCUACAUGUUAAUUGCUGGU
rnacentral:lncRNA from 1 species